rnacentral:snRNA from 1 species
GUGUCACUUUGGAAGCACAUAUACUAAAAUUGGAAUGAUACAGAGAAGAUUAGCAUGGCCCCUGCACAAGGAUGACACACAAAUUCAUGAAGCGUUCCAUAUUUUU